CUUCGACUGCCCAGCCGUUCGAUCUCUGGUUGCUUGUAGAUUCGCGCUGGGGCGCUUUGUCCCUUGUUUCGGCCUGUCUAAGGCGCGGACCGGCCCGUUUACAGUUAUUUUUCGUCGAACCGCGGUGGGUUGGGCAAGUGUUCGAGUGGGCUUUAUUGUCCUUUUUUUUUUGCUUUUUCUGUUUUUUGGGGCCGCAAGGAGGGGAUGGGGAGGCGGACACCCGUGUUAAUUCCACUUCGUCUCUUUCCAUUCCCCAGUCCCAAAUCUGAAGAACUCCGCACGGGAAGAAGAGACGCCGAGCUCCAAGGCCGCCGAGCUCCAAGGCUUCUCCAACGAACAGAUUGACUUGUUACUGCAUGCCCAACGAGAGAGAAUGGCUGACGCUGCUUGUGGACAACACAUGGGCAUUGACAUGGAUGAUGAAGGAAGGGCCAUGAACACGACAGAGACAAUAGAAAUGCAGAACGCAGAGCCCUGAACACGACAGAGACAAUGGAGAAGGCAGAGAUCAGUGUCUUGAAGAUCGAGAGUUAGAAGAGAGACGAUAUCACGUUUUGCUCUUUUGAAGAAGGUUUGUAACCUUUUUCUACAUAUAGUGAUCUUUUUUUUUUCUUGAGUUCUAGUUGAUACAGGAAAUUAACUAGCUAGCAUAGAAAGUUGACUAGCUACGUCCCCGUGGUGGCUCUGUACUCAUUGCUAACGUUUUUAACUAGCUAAUACAUGAAGUUUGUUAACUAUAUCUAAUUAAUACAGGGAAGUUAACUAUCAAA